rnacentral:rRNA from 1 species
CCUACGGGUGGCAGCAGUGAGGAAUAUUGGUCAAUGGGCGUAAGCCUGAACCAGCCAAGUCGCGUGAGGGAUGAAGGUUCUAUGGAUCGUAAACCUCUUUUAUAAGGGAAUAAAGUGCGGGACGGGUCACGUUUUGUAUGUACCUUAUGAAUAAGGAUCGGCUAACUCCGUGCCAGCAGCCGCGGUAAUACGGAGGAGCCGAGCGUUAUCCGGAUUUAUUGGGUUUAACGGGGGCGUAGGGGGCCUUUUAAGUCAGCGGUGAAAGUCUGUGGCUCAACCAUAGAAUUGCCGUUGAAACUGGGAGUCUUGCGUAUUUUUGAGGCAGGCGGAAUGCGUGGUGUAGCGGU